rnacentral:rRNA from 1 species
CCCUGUUGAGCUUGACUCUAGUCUGGCUUUGUGAAAUGACUCUUGAGAUGUAGGAUAAGUGGGAGACUUCGCCGGUGAAAUACCACUACUCGAGUCGUCAUUUUACUUAUUCCGUUAUGUAGAGACCCUCUUUGAGGGUUUUGGAACCAAGGCGUAUGCCGAUCUAGGCGGAAGACAUAGUCAGGUGGGGAGUUUGGCUGGGGCGGCACAUCUGUUAAAUGAUAACACAGGUGUCCAAGGGUAAGCUCAAAGAGAACAGAAAUCUCUUGUUGACCAAAAGGGGAAAAGCUUACUUGAUUUUGAUUUUCAGUAUGAAUACAAACUG